rnacentral:rRNA from 1 species
AUAUGGCUCAGAUUGAACGCUGGCGGCAGGCCUAACACAUGCAAGUCGAACGGUAACAGGAAGCAGCUUGCUGCUUGCUGACGAGUGGCGGACGGGUGAGUAAUGUCUGGGAAACUGCCCGAUGGAGGGGGAUAACUACUGGAAACGGUAGCUAAUACCGCAUAAUGUCGCAAGACCAAAGAGGGGGACCUUCGGGCCUCUUGCCAUCGGAUGUGCCCAGAUGGGAUUAGCUUGUUGGUGAGGUAACGGCUCACCAAGGCGACGAUCCCUAGCUGGUCUGAGAGGAUGACCAGCCACACUGGAACUGAGACACGGUCCAGACUCCUACGGGAGGCAGCAGUGGGGAAUAUUGCACAAUGGGCGCAAGCCUGAUGCAGCCAUGCCGCGUGUAUGAAGAAGGCCUUCGGGUUGUAAAGUACUUUCAGCGGGGAGGAAGGGGUUAAGGUUAAUAACCUUAGCCAUUGACGUUACCCGCAGAAGAAGCACCGGCUAACUCCGUGCCAGCCGCUGC